UGAAUUUCCUCCUAUUUGUGGCAUCUAAAUAAUCUGUGUUCAUCUCUCCUCAGAACCUUGACAUUCUUCUCAUCAGCAUUAUCCACAGCCAGGAGAAGAAAAGAUGAGGAUUGUUUUCAAAGGCUCUGGGCAGCAUCUGGAACAGAGUAUCCUGAAGAACCUCCAAACAGAAGGAGAUUUUGCAAUUAGGAGUACAAGAAAUUCAUCUGAGGCAUGCACUCAAUGUGUCGAAGACCCACGGAUUCCCAGCAUUAUGAGGAUAACCCCCG
rnacentral:lncRNA from 1 species